UACGUACUCUCUCUGUUCGGAAAUAUUUGUUGGGAAAAUGAAUGUAUCUAGACAUAUUUUAGUUCUAGAUACAUUCAUUUUCGCGACAAGUAAUUCCGGACGAAGGGAGUAAAUA
rnacentral:pre_miRNA from 1 species